AUAUAUAGUAUGUUAGUAACAUUAGGAUUAUUAGAUAUUUUAUUUAAACUAACUAAAUUAAUACUAAAUUAUUAAUUUAUAUUAGUAACAUUACAGAGUUUCAGACACUUUCUCUGAUUUAUAUAGUUGACGUUUCUGAACAUGUGUAUGAGUAAUAUUAUGUGAACGUGUACUGUGCAACACACUAUGCUUGUGACUUUGUUGAAUUGAAUAUGUGUUACGUAAAGUAAAGAUAAAAGGAAAGGAAAUAGCACAAAAAAUCUGAUACCAUAUAGAGAAUAUUGUUGGUAAUUGUGGGAUCUCUAUACACAACAAGGUACUUUUAUUUAUGGAGUAGAGAUACGAUACUAUGUAAAAAAAUUGAAUACUUAAUAAUGUGAAAUAAGAGUGCAUAAUUGAUCAGGUUAGAAAUACAUAAGUGUGUUUUAUUGUAUAUUUAUUUUAAUGUUAAUGUGUUAAUAUUUGUUUUUACAUUCUCUUAGGAGUUAGUGUUUUCUCCAUCUCCUCGUGGAAGGAGGAAAGCAGAAAUUUCUACUAAUAUAGCAGAAACAUCACUCACAUUAGAGGGAAUUGUCUAUGUUGUUGACAAUGGGUUUUGUAAACAACGGUUCUACAAUCCGUUAAUCAUUUUGUUAUUUCUAUUGAAGAGAUACAGGAAUGAGCCCUGUAAUGAUUAUUUCUUGUUUGAUUUAUAAAUGUAACAUUUGGUCUAUCUUUACUUCUAUUCAAGUUUCUUUUUGCUUUCUAGUUUUUAGCUAACAUUGUUCCACUACAUAAGGCAUUAUUCUCAUUUUCUACA